UACGUAGGGUGCGAGCGUUAAUCGGAAUUACUGGGCGUAAAGCGUGCGCAGGCGGUUCGUUGUGUCUGAUGUGAAAGCCCCGGGCUCAACCUGGGAAUGGCAUUGGAAACUGGCGAGCUAGAGUGUGGCAGAGGGGGGUGGAAUUCCGCGUGUAGCAGUGAAAUGCGUAGAGAUACGGAGGAACACCGAUGGCGAAGGCAGCCCCCCUGGGCUGACACUGACGCUCAGGCACGAAAGCGUGGGGAGCAAACAGG
rnacentral:rRNA from 1 species